GAGGGUACAGCUCAGUGGUAGAGUGUGUGCUUAGCUUGCACGAGGUCCUGGGUUCAAUCCCCAGUACCUCCA
rnacentral:tRNA from 1 species